GACUACAAGGGUAUCUAAUCCUGUUUGCUCCCCACGCCUUCGAGCCUCAACGUCAGUUACAGUCCAGUAAGCCGCCUUCGCCGCCGGUGUUCCUCCUGAUAUCUACGCAUUUCACCGCUACACCAGGAAUUCCGCUUACCUCUCCUGCACUCCAGCUUCACAGUUUCCAGAGCAGUUCCGGGGUUGGGCCCCGGCAUUUCACUCCAGACUUGCGCUGCCGUCUACGCUCCCUUUACACCCAGUAAAUCCGGAUAACGCUUGCCCCCUACGUAUUACCGCGGCUGCUGGCACGUAGUUAGCCGGGGCUUCUUAGUCAGGUACCGUCAUUUUCUUUCCUGCUGAUAGAGCUUUACGUACCGAAAUACUUCUUCACUCACGCGGCGUCGCUGGAUCAGGGUUUCCCCCAUUGUCCAAUAUUCCCCACUGCUGCCUCCCGUAGUC
rnacentral:rRNA from 1 species